ACUGCUCAGUAACACGUGGAUAACAUGCCCUAAGGUGGGGGAUAAUCUCGGGAAACUGAGGAUAAUACCCCAUAGAUCUUGAAUGCUGGAAUGCUUCUAGGUCGAAAACUCCGGUGCCUUAGGAUUGGUCUGCGGUCUAUCAGGCUGUAGUGGGUGUAACGGACCCACUAGCCCGUGACGGAUAUGGGCCUUGAGAGAGGGUGCCCAGAGAUGGACUCUGAGACAUGAGUCCAGGCCCUACGGGGCGCAGCAGUCGCGAAAACUUCGCAAUGGGGGAAACCCCGACGAGGGAAUUCCAAGUGCUAGCACUUUGUGUUAGCUGUUCUUCUGUCUAAAAAACAGGAGAAGUAAGGGGCGGGUAAGACGGGUGCCAGCCGCCGCGGUAAUACCCGCGCCCCGAGUGGUGGUCGAUAUUAUUGAGCCUAAAACGUCCGUAGCCGGUCUUCUAAAUCCUUGGGUAAAUCGGGCAGCUUAACUGUCCGAAUUCCGGGGAGACUGGGAGACUUGGGACCGGGAGAGGUCAGAGGUACUUCUGGGGUAGGGGUAAAAUCCUGUAAUCCUGGAAGGACCACCGGUGGCGAAGGCGUCUGACUAGAACGGAUCCGACGGUGAGGGACGAAGCCCUGGGGCGCAAACGGGAUUAGAUACCCCGGUAGUCCAGGGUGUAAACGCUGCGGGCUUGGUGUUGGGGGUCCUUAGUGGGCGCCCAGUGCCGGAGAGAAGUUGUUAAGCCUGCUGCUUGGGGAGUAUGUCCGCAAGGAUGAAACUUAAAGGAAUUGGCGGGGGAGCAC
rnacentral:rRNA from 1 species